rnacentral:rRNA from 1 species
UACGAAGGGUGCAAACGUUGCUCGGAAUCAUUGGGCGUAAAGCGCACGUAGGCGGCUUGACAAGUCGGAUGUGAAAUCCCUCGGCUCAACCAAGGAAGUGCGUCCGAAACUGUCGAGCUUGAGUACCAAAGAGGAUCGCGGAAUUCCCGGUGUAGAGGUGAAAUUCGUAGAUAUCGGGAGGAACACCAGUGGCGAAGGCGGCGAUCUGGGUGGAUACUGACGCUGAGGUGCGAAAGCGUGGGGAGCAAACAGG